UCCCUCUUAGCCCAGUUGGUAAAGAAUCUGCCUGCAAUGCAGGACACCCAGGUUCGAUUCCUGGGUGAGGAA
rnacentral:tRNA from 1 species